AGAUAGAAUAUUUUCUCCUGCAUGUGCUUGAUCUCAUCUGAUCUGAUCUUGUAAAGCUAAGCAGGUUGGGCCUAGUUAGUGCUUGGAUGGGAGAUCACCUUGGAAUACUGGGUGCUGUAGGCU
rnacentral:rRNA from 1 species